rnacentral:rRNA from 1 species
CCCUUAGAUGUCCUGGGCCGCACGCGCGUUACACUGAUGCAUUCAACGAGCUUAUAACCUUGGCCGAGAGGCCUGGGCAAUCUUGUUAACGUGCAUCGUGAUAGGGAUAGAUUAUUGAAAUUAUUAACCUUGAACGAGGAAUUCCUAGUAAACGCAGAUCAUCAAUCUGCAUUGAUUACGUCCCUGCCCUUUGUACACACCGCCCGUCGCACCUACCGAUUGGAUGGUCCGGUGAAGCCUCGGGAUUGUGGUUCUUGCCGCUUUAUUGUGGCGUGACCGCGAGAACUUGUCUAAACCUUAUCAUCUAGAGGAAGGUGAAGUCGUAACA